rnacentral:lncRNA from 1 species
CUGAUUGAAAAUGAUUCUCGGGAUUUCUUCCGAAGGCCUCUUAAGUAAUUGCAUUGUGAGACUUAAAAAUAAAUAAAUAAAAAUAAAGGGAAGAACAUUAAUUGCUUUUAAUAUCUACAGUCUAAUUUUGGCAAAGCUUAGUACACUAAUAGCUCUGAAUCUCGCGCCAUACAACAAUGGAUUAAAAAUAGAAGGCUCAUCGUGGUGGAUAUAUUUAGAGGCUGAUGUUUUUCUUUUAUAAUUUUAGGAGAGAUUUGUUCCCCGGCACAUUGUUACUCCUCCCUGGGAACUGACAUGGGGUGUUUUUCUAGAGGACUCGUGGGUGGGGCGACUGUGAAGUUAUUGCCAAAGGAAAAUGACAAUAUUUAUCCUGAAGGUGAGACAAGAGACAGAACUGUUCCACUGUCAAGGCUGUGAAGGACAAAGGAACGGCUCUCCUUGUAUGGUCUGCCUCCAAGCUUUUGAAGAGAAGGAGAAAUUAUUUUUAAAAAGGGCUACAGAUGGUCCAGCUAGAAGAUGAAAGGGUUGAACAAGACACCAAGGACCCCUUCAGCUUCCAACGUUACCGCUCAUAACGCUUGGCAGCCUUGCUGAGGGCUGCUCCUGACUUCGGCUUGGGUAGUCCAACCUAAUUCCGCCUUGUCCUUGUCGUAAGUGCCUGGGUAGAGCCCUUGGUUUGGCCUUCUAGUGAAUUCCACAUGGGUGUAACGGGAGCAGGGCUAAUCCAGGACGGCCAGUGCUAAAGUCACUUCCAGGUACUCUAGGAAUUAUCAUAGUCUUAAAAACUGAAAAAUAAGGGAGCUUUUUUCCUCC